rnacentral:rRNA from 1 species
UACGUAGGGGGCAAGCGUUGUCCGGAAUCAUUGGGCGUAAAGAGCGCGUAGGCGGCCAGAUAAGUCCGGUGUGAAAGUCACAGGCUCAACCUGUGAAUGCCGCUGGAAACUGUCUGGCUAGAGUCCGGAAGGGGCGAGUGGAAUUCCUGGUGUAGCGGUGAAAUGCGCAGAUAUCAGGAGGAACACCAAUGGCGAAGGCAGCUCGCUGGAACGGUACUGACGCUGAGGCGCGAAAGCGUGGGGAGCAAACAGG